AUUACAACCAUCAACCUGGAGACAUGAUUUAUUGGAAAAAACACUUGCACAAAGGUUCUCUCCAGUCUCACUGGAAGGGACCAUACAAGAUAUUGCUAAUCAACCUUUACACCAUUAAAUUAGAAGGCACCGAUUCAUGUUUCUUAUUUUUUAAAAAGGCUCUCAUAUCCAGCUGGACUACUAAAUCAACUGGAGACCUCAAAUUGACUAUAUUCUGAAAGAAGAAGCAGACAACAUCUGAAUACACUGCUUUCCUGAAAGUCAGGACCAGUUUUUCUUCCAGCUUUCAUCUCCUUUGGUACCUAGAGUGGUUAAUGUUAUUAUUCAAAUAUAUCAAUCAUUAGUGGAUUGGCCAUAAUUCCUCUACUAAAAGUUUGCAAAAGAGGGAGAGAGAGAAUCCCAAGCAGGUGUCAUGUUCAGCAUGGAAGCUGAUGUGGGGCUGGAUUGCACAAACGUGAGAUAAUAACCUGAGCUGAAAUUGAGUCUGAUGCUCAACUGCUUAAGCCACCCAGGUACCCCUGAUAUCCAUCUUGGUGAACAAGUUUCCCUGGAUUGUAUUUUGAAUAGGCUGUUUGCUCCUUAGAUAAGAGAGGCUCCAUUUGAAUCAGGAUUCCAGAGGAAAAGCAAGGAUGUACAAUGCCUUCUAGAAGGAGAAUAAGGAGUGGACGUAUCCUAAUGCAGCUUCUCAUGAGAUAGCAAGAGGAACACAUCUUUGCCCCUAACAUCAGCAAGCUUGAGUGCCAGUGCCUUCAAGUAUCAUUGUUAUCAUGUGGUGUCAUUAUUAAUAACGGCUAAUUGUUUACCCUGUACCUGCUAGGUAACAUGUCCUAAUAAAGGUUACAGAAUCUCA